rnacentral:rRNA from 1 species
GCGUGCGGGAAGAAGGCCUUCGGGUUGUAAACCGCUUUUGUUCGGGAAGAAAUCCUCUGGGCUAAUACCCCGGGGGGAUGACGGUACCGGAAGAAUAAGCACCGGCUAACUACGUGCCAGCAGCCGCGGUAAUACGUAGGGUGCGAGCGUUAAUCGGAAUUACUGGGCGUAAAGCGUGCGCAGGCGGUUGUGCAAGACAGAUGUGAAAUCCCCGGGCUUAACCUGGGAACUGCAUUUGUGACUGCACGGCUAGAGUGCGGCAGAGGGGAGUGGAAUUCCGCGUGUAGCAGUGAAAUGCGU